UACGAAGGGGACUAGCGUUGUUCGGAAUCACUGGGCGUAAAGCGCACGUAGGCGGCUUUCUAAGUCAGGGGUGAAAUCCUGGAGCUCAACUCCAGAACUGCCUUUGAUACUGGAGAGCUUGAGUCCGGGAGAGGUGAGUGGAACUCCGAGUGUAAAGGUGAAAUUCGUAGAUAUUCGGAAGAACACCAGUGGCGAAGGCGGCUCACUGGCCCGGUACUGACGCUGAUGUGCGAAAGCGUGGGGAGCAAACAGG
rnacentral:rRNA from 1 species